CUACGGGUGGCAGCAGUGAGGAAUAUUGGUCAAUGGGCGCGAGCCUGAACCAGCCAUCCCGCGUGCAGGAUGACGGCCCUAUGAGUUGUAAACUGCUUUUCUAUGCCAAGAAACCUGAUUACGUGUAAUCAGUUGCCGGUAGCAUAGGAAUAAGCAUCGGCUAACUCCGUGCCAGCAGCCGCGGUAAUACGGAGGAUGCAAGCGUUAUCCGGAUUCAUUGGGUUUAAAGGGUGCGCAGGUGGGCUUGUAAGUCAGUGGUGAAAUGCUGCCGCUUAACGGUAGAACUGCCAUUGAUACUGCGAGUCUUGAGUAUGGUUGAGGUAGGCGGAAUGUGUUGUGUAGCGGUGAAAUGCAUAGAUAUGACACAGAACGCCAAUUGCGAAGGCAGCUUACUAAGCCAUUACUGACGCUGAGGCACGAAAGCGUGGGGAGCGAACAGGAUUAGAUACCCGGGUAGUC
rnacentral:rRNA from 1 species